UACGUAGGGCGCAAGCGUUGUCCGGAAUCAUUGGGCGUAAAGAGCUCGUAGGUGGUCUGUUACGUCUGCUGUGAAAACCUAGGGCUUAACCCUGGGCCUGCAGUGGAUGCGGGCAGACUAGGGGUAGGUAGGGGAGAAUGGAAUUCCCGGUGUAGCGGUGAAAUGCGCAGAUAUCGGGAGGAACACCGGUGGCGAAGGCGGUUCUCUGGGCCUUACCUGACACUGAGGAGCGAAAGCGUGGGGAGCGAACAGG
rnacentral:rRNA from 1 species